rnacentral:rRNA from 1 species
CCUACGGGCGGCAGCAGUGAGGAAUAUUGGUCAAUGGACGAGCGUCUGAACCCGCCAAGUAGCGUGAAGGAUGACUGCCCUAUGGGUUGUAAACUUCUUUUAUAUGGGAAUAAAACAGGGUAUGCAUACCCUCUUGUAUGUACCAUAUGAAUAAGGAUCGGCUAACUCCGUGCCAGCAGCCGCGGUAAUACGGAGGAUCCGAGCGUUAUCCGGAUUUAUUGGGUUUAAAGGGAGCGUAGGUGGAUUGUUAAGUCAGUUGUGAAAGUUUGCGGCUCAACCGUAAAAUUGCAGUUGAAACUGGCAGUCGUGAGUACAGUAGAGGUGGGCGGAAUGCGUGGUGUAGCGGUGAAAUGCUUAGAUAGCACGAAGAACUCCGAUUGCGAAGGCAGCUCACUGGACUGCAACUGACACUGAUGCUCGAAAGUGUGGGUAUCAAACAGGAUUAGAGACCCUGGUAGUC